rnacentral:rRNA from 1 species
GAUGAACGCUGGCGGCGUGCCUAAUACAUGCAAGUCGAGCGAAUGGAUUAAGAACUUGCUCUUAUGAAGUUAGCGGCGGACGGGUGAGUAACACGUGGGUAACCUGCCCAUAAGACUGGGAUAACUCCGGGAAACCGGGGCUAAUACCGGAUAACAUUUUGAACCGCAUGGUUCGAAAUUGAAAGGCGGCUUCGGCUGUCACUUAUGGCUGGACCCGCGUCGCAUUAGCUAGUUGGUGAGGUAACGGCCCACCAAGGCAACGAUGCGUAGCCGACCUGAGAGGGUGAUCGGCCACACUGGGACUGAGACACGGCCCAGACUCCUACGGGAGGCAGCAGUAGGGAAUCUUCCGCAAUGGACGAAAGUCUGACGGAGCAACGCCGCGUGAGUGAUGAAGGCUUUCGGGUCGUAAAACUCUGUUGUUUGGGAAGAACAAGUGCUAGUUGAAUAAGCUGGCACCUUGACGGUACCUAACCAGAAAGCCACGGCUAACUACGUGCCAGCAGCCGCAGUAA